AUACGUAGGGUGCGAGCGUUGUCCGGAAUUACUGGGCGUAAAGAGCUCGUAGGUGGUUUGUCGCGUCGUCUGUGAAAUUCCGGGGCUUAACUCCGGGCGUGCAGGCGAUACGGGCAUAACUUGAGUACUGUAGGGGAGACUGGAAUUCCUGGUGUAGCGGUGAAAUGCGCAGAUAUCAGGAGGACCACCGGGGGCGAAGGCGGGUUCCUGGGCAUAAACGGGCGCGGGGGAGGGAAAGCAGGGGUAGCGAACAGGAUUAGAUCCCCUGGUAGCCCAGGCGGUAAACGGUGGGCGCUGGGUGUAGGGGUCUUCCACGACUUUUGUGCCGUGGCUAACGAAUUAAGCGCCCCGCCUGGGAGUACGGCCGCAAGGCUAAAACUCAAAUGAAUUGACGGGG
rnacentral:rRNA from 1 species